GUUCAAGAGAUUUUUCUGCCUCAGCCUCCCAAGUAGCUGGCACUGCAGACACGCAUCACCACGCCCAGGUUCACAGAUGAAGAGAAAUUUUGUGAGAAUGAACUGUACCUUGAAUCUCACCUACAUCUGAUUUAGUUAAUACUUAAAUAAGACCUUGGACUUUAGACUGGACUUGAGGCUGGAAUGAGUUAAGACUUAUGGAUUUGUUGGAAUGGAAUGACUGCAUUUUGCAUGUGAAGACAUGAAUUUUGGGGAACCUGGGGCAGAAUGUUAUGGACUGAAUUUUUAAAGUGUACCC
rnacentral:lncRNA from 10 species